AUGGCAGCCAAACCAGACCUGAAGUUGUUGGGCAUGUCGGUGAGUCCAUUCGUCAUCCGUGUUCGCAUGGCGCUGCACAUGAAGGGCGUGAGCCACGAGUACAUCGAGCAGGACCUCUUCAACAAGAGCGAGCUCCUCCUCGAGUCCAGCCCGGUGGAGAAGAAGGUGCCCGUGCUCAUCCACGACGGCAAGCCCGUAUGCGACUCGCCGGCCAUCGUGCAGUACAUCGACGAGGUCUGGGCCGCCACGGGGCCGCCGAUCCUCCCCGCCGACCCCUAUGAGCGCGCCGUCGCUCGUUUCUGGACCGCCUACGUGGACGACAAGCUAUUCCCUGCUUACGCUGGCACUGCUAAGGCAGCCACGGAGGAGGAGAGGACGCAACAGAUUAACGAGAUGUUCGCGGUGAUGGGGCAGCUGGAGGAGGCAUUUGCCCAGUGCUCAAACGGGAAGGCCUUCUUCGCCGGCGACUCCAUCGGCAACCUCGACAUCGCCGUUGGAUGCAAUCUGCUCUUGCUCGAGGUGCUACGCAGUAUGUAUGGCGUGGAGUUCGUCGACACUGGGAGGACCCCGCUCUUGGCAGCGUGGGCGAAGCGGUUCGGGGAAACCGAUGCGGCGAGGGAGGUGGUGCCCGACGUGCACGUCGCCGUGGAGUACGCCAAGAAGCGUCAGGCUUAUUGGGCUGCUGCCGCGGCUACAAAGUGA
rnacentral:rRNA from 1 species